rfam:Blumeria graminis f. sp. hordei DH14, WGS project CATH01000000 data, contig: 013515
GCUGAUUUGGCCGAGUGGUCUAAGGCGGUGGUUUUAAGUGGAAUACCACUUCACCAUUAUCGAGAGAUGCGUGAGUUCGAACCUCACAGUCAGCA